UCGGGAAUUUUGGGCAAUGGGCGAAAGCCUGACCCAGCAACGCCGCGUGAAGGAUGAAGUCCCUCGGGAUGUAAACUUCGGAAAUAUGGGAAGAAUAAAUGACGGUACCAUACCUAAGGUCCGGCUAACUACGUGCCAGCAGCCGCGGUAAUACGUAGGGACCAAGCGUUGUUCGGAUUUACUGGGCGUAAAGGGUGCGUAGGCGGCGCGUCAAGUCACUUGUGAAAUCUCCGAGCUUAACUCGGAACGGCCAAGUGAUACUGUCGUGCUAGAGUGCAGAAAGGGCAACUGGAAUUCUUGGUGUAGCGGUGAAAUGCGUAGAUAUCAAGAGGAACACCUGAGGCGAAGGCGAGUUGCUAGGCUGACACUGACGCUGAGGCACGAAAGCCAGGGGAGCGAACGGGAUUAGAUACCCCGGUAGUCCUGGCCCUAAACGAUGAAUGCUUGGUGUCUGGAGUUUUAAUUCUCUGGGUGCCGCCGUUAACGCUUUUAGCAUUCCGCCUGGGGAGUACGCUCGCAAGAGUG
rnacentral:rRNA from 1 species